CCUUUUUAUUUUAAAAAGCACAGCAUCCCGAAGUGCUGAGAAGAGGGCUGUGGCAAGGCUGUGGGUCCUGCCUACCGCCAUGUUUUUAGUCUAGAAUGAGACAGGAAAUGAGCCUGGCCCAUUUCCUGCCUCCUUAUAGACUCUACACAUGGGCCGUGAGUGGCUGCCAUUUUGUUUCUGUCUAUCAGAAGGCAGGUUCAUGAAAGACAUAAGUCGGCAGUUCUCCUCUCCGUGAACCGGGAACAUUUCCCUGGCGCGUGAGACGCUCAAUUACUCACACACCAAGGGAGAGAGAAAUGAAGUGCAACUCUCAGGAAUAGAUUCCCCAAAAGGAGAGCAGCUCUGUCAUGGCAUCUCUCCCCGGUUAUACAGAAGACAAAAAUGCAAAAUCCACACCUCUGGCUCUGAAUCAAAGGCCAGGAAGGUGGUCUGGUGACCCAUCACAAUACCAAGCAUCCACAUCCAAACAAUAGUGGCGUUGCUAUUGCUUGACACUGCAUAGAACCAUUCUACGCCAGAAUACCUCAAGGACACUUUGAAGAUUAAACUACAUACAACUCUGCUUCGAGGGGACACAGAGAGGCCCCAACCUAAGUUUUGCAGCUGUUGCUACCAAGUGACAUGAGAGUGUAAAGCAAGCAUGAGAAUAAAGGCCUGGCCUCCUGCAGCCACAGACUCUUUGCUUGCUGAGAAGAAUCCGGUCAUAACAGAGAGGUCUGGCUGAGACAGCAGCAGGCCCAACAUGGCGGGACUCAUGUCAAGCGGUGUGCAGGAGAAGCUCCUAAGAGAACCACCCCAUUAUGAGUUGCUGUCUGAAAGUAUGCUGAGAACCUGCAAAUGAAAGUCAAUUUCCAUCAAGAAUUUGCUGCCCUGCUAAGAGAGCCAACUUGGGGGGAAAAAAAAAUUGCUUGCUAUUGCCUGUGUAUAUGUGCUUUGUUGUUUGGUGGAAAGUACAGCAUCUGAAGAAUACUAUAGAAUUUUUUGUGACUAACCCUUUUAGCACUUUGUGUAUGCUCAAGUUAACUUUUUUUAACUCAACUGAAAUCGGUCAAGGCUCCAGGAUGUGAUUACAUUCCUGCUGAUUUAAUAAAGACCAAUGUUGAUUGGUGGACCCCCA